CUAAGGUCCCAAAGUCAUGGUUAAGUGGGAAACGAUGUGGGAAGGCCCAGACAGCCAGGAUGUUGGCUUAGAAGCAGCCAUCAUUUAAAGAAAGCGUAAUAGCUCACUGGUCGAGUCGGCCUGCGCGGAAGAUGUAACGGGGCUAAACCAUGCACCGAAGCUGCGGCAGCGACGCUGAUGCGUUGUUGGGUAGGGGAGCGUUCUGUAAGCCUGCGAAGGUGUGCUGUGAGGCAUGCUGGAGGUAUCAGAAGUGCGAAUGCUGACAUAAGUAACGAUAAAGCGGGUGAAAAGCCCGCUCGCCGGAAGACCAAGGGUUCCUGUCCAACGUUAAUCGGGGCAGGGUGAGUCGACCCCUAAGGCGAGGCCGAAAGGCGUAGUCGAUGGGAAACAGGUUAAUAUUCCUGUACUUGGUGUUACUGCGAAGGGGGGACGGAGAAGGCUAUGUUGGCCGGGCGACGGUUGUCCCGGUUUAAGCGUGUAGGCUGGUUUUCCAGGCAAAUCCGGAAA
rnacentral:rRNA from 1 species